rnacentral:rRNA from 1 species
UACGUAGGUGGCAAGCGUUGUCCGGAAUCAUUGGGCGUAAAGAGCGUGUAGGCGGCCCGGUAAGUCCGCUGUGAAAGUCCAGGGCUCAACCCUGGAAUGCCGGUGGAAACUGUCGGGCUAGAGUCCGGAAGAGGCGAGUGGAAUUCCUGGUGUAGCGGUGAAAUGCGCAGAUAUCAGGAGGAACACCAAUGGCGAAGGCAGCUCGCUGGGACGGUACUGACGCUGAGACGCGAAAGCGUGGGGAGCAAACAGG